GACGAACGCUGGCGGCGUGCCUAACACAUGCAAGUCGAACGGAGUGAUUCGCUGAUUUGAUUCUAGCUUGCUAGAGGAUUUUCUUGAAUCACUUAGUGGCGGACGGGUGAGUAACACGUGAGCAACCUGCCUUACAGAGGGGGACAACAGUUGGAAACGACUGCUAAUACCGCAUAACGUAUUUUGAAGGCAUCUUCGAAAUACCAAAGGAGCAAUCCGCUGUAAGAUGGGCUCGCGUCCGAUUAGAUAGUUGGCGGGGUAACGGCCCACCAAGUCGACGAUCGGUAGCCGGACUGAGAGGUUGAACGGCCACGAUUGGGACUGAGACACGGCCCAGACUCCUACGGGAGGCAGCAGUAGGGAAUAUUGCACAAUGGGGGGAACCCUGAUGCAGCAACGCCACGUGUGGGAAGAAGCAUUUCGGUGUGUAAACCACUGUCGGAAGGACGAAGGACGUGACGGUACCUGCAGAAAAAGCAACGGCUAACUACGUGCCAGCAG
rnacentral:rRNA from 1 species